rnacentral:rRNA from 1 species
AUGGAACAAUGUAGGCAAGGGAAGUCGGCAAAACGGAUCCGUAACUUCGGGAAAAGGAUUGGCUCUGAGGACUGGGCUCGGGGGUCCCGGCCCCGAACCCGUCGGCUGUCGGCGGAUUGCUCGAUGUGCUCACGCGGCGAGAGCGGGUCGCCGCGUGCCGGCCGGGGGACGGACCGGGAAUCGCCCCUUCGGGGGCUUUCCCCGAGCAUGAAACAGUCGACUCAGAACUGGUACGGACAAGGGGAAUCCGACUGUUUAAUUAAAACAAAGCAUUGCGAUAACUAG